rnacentral:rRNA from 1 species
AGCAGCCGCGGUAAUUCCAGCUCCAAUAGCGUAUAUUAAAGUUGUUGCAGUUAAAAAGCUCGUAGUUGAAUUUCGGGGUCAGUAGGUUGGUCGUGCCAAUGGUAUGCACUGGCUUUACUGAUUCCUCCUUCUUGAAGAACUGUAAUGCCAUUAAUUUGGUGUUGCAGGGAAUCAGGACUGUUACUUUGAAAAAAUUAGAGUGUUUAAAGCAGGCUUACGCUUGAAUACAUUAGCAUGGAAUAAUGAAAUAGGACGUUGAUCCUAUUUUGUUGGUUUCUAGGAUUGACGUAAUGAUUAAUAGGGAUAGUUGGGGGCAUUAGUAUUCAAUUGUCAGAGGUGAAAUUCUUGGAUUUAUUGAAGACUAACUACUGCGAAAGCAUUUGCCAAGGAUGUUUUCAUUAAUCAAGAACGAAAGUUAGGGGAUCGAAGACGAUCAGAUACCGUCGUAGU